GCUACAGGCUUAACACAUGCAAGUCGAGGGGCAGCAUUGGAGUAGCAAUACUCAGAUGGCGACCGGCGCACGGGUGAGUAACACGUAUCCAACCUGCCGCUUACUCGGGGAUAGCCUUUCGAAAGAAAGAUUAAUACCCGAUGGUAUAAAGAGUUCGCAUGUUCUCUUUAUUAAAGAAUUUCGGUAAGCGAUGGGGAUGCGUUCCAUUAGAUAGUUGGCGGGGUAACGGCCCACCAAGUCUACGAUGGAUAGGGGUUCUGAGAGGAAGGUCCCCCACAUUGGAACUGAGACACGGUCCAAACUCCUACGGGAGGCAGCAGUGAGGAAUAUUGGUCAAUGGACGAGAGUCUGAACCAGCCAAAAGUAGCGUGAAGGAUGACUGCCCUAUGGGUUGUAAACUUCUUUUAUAAGGGAAUAAAGUGAGGGACGUGUCCCUUUUUGUAUGUACCUUAUGAAUAAGGAUCGGCUAACUCCGUGCCAGCCGCGGC
rnacentral:rRNA from 1 species